AACGAACGCUGGCGGCGUGUUUAAGACAUGCAAGUCGCACGGGAUCAAUUUGGUAGUAAUACUCGAUCGGUCCAGUGGCGCACGGGUGAGUAACAUGUGAAUGACAUGCCCUUCAGUGGGGAAUAGCCCAGGGAAACUUGGAUUAAUACCCCAUGGUAUCGCAAGAUUAAAGGUGGCCGCAAGGCUGUCGCUGAAGGAUUGGUUCGCACCCUAUCAGCUUGUUGGCGGGGUAACGGCCCACCAAGGCUACGACGGGUACCUGGUCUGAGAGGACGAUCAGGCACACUGGAACUGAGACACGGUCCAGACACCUACGGGUGGCAGCAGUCGAGAAUAAUUCACAAUGGGGGCAACCCUGAUGGUGCAACGCCGCGUGGAGGAUGACGGUCUUCGGAUUGUAAACUCCUGUCAUCCGGGAGUAAGACCUGGCUGUGAAUAGCAGACAGGGUUGAUAGUACCGGAAGAGGAAGGGACGGCUAACUUCGUGCCAGCCGCCGCAGUAACAC
rnacentral:rRNA from 1 species